rnacentral:tRNA from 1 species
GCCCGGCUAGCUCAAUCGGUAGAGCGUGAGACUCUUAAUCUCAAGGUUGUGGGUUCGACCCGUAAGCGCAUCCCCGGCC